rnacentral:rRNA from 1 species
GACCUCCGUAGUGACCUGCGGAGGGACAUUACCGAGUGGAGGGCGCCCCGGCGCCCGACCUCCCAACCCUUUGAUUGAUCAAGACCUCUCUCUGCCUCGGGGGUGACCCGGCCCUCGGGCCGCGAUCCCCCCGGCGGCGCCUCCCAACCAACCCUGCAUCAAUCGUCGUCGGAUAUUGAAGCGAAUUCAAUCAAAACUUUCAACAACGGAUCUCUUGGUUCUGGCAUCGAUGAAGAACGCAGCGAAAUGCGAUAAGUAAUGUGAAUUGCAGAAUUCAGUGAAUCAUCGAGUCUUUGAACGCACAUUGCGCCCCCUGGUAUUCCGGGGGGCAUGCCUGUCCGAGCGUCAUUGCUGCCCUCAAGCACGGCUUGUGUGUUGGGCUCCGUCCUCCUUCCGGGGGACGGGCCCGAAAGGCAGCGGCGGCACCGCGUCCGGUCCUCGAGCGUAUGGGGCUUCGUCACCCGCUCUGUAGGCCCGGCCGGCGCUUGCCGACACAUCAAUCUUUUUUCCAGGUUGACCUCGGAUCAGGUAGGGAUACCCGCUGAACUUAAGCAUAUCAUAAAACGAGAGAAAGAUCCGUUGUUGAGAGUGUUGAAUCGAAUUCGCUUCAAUAUCCGACGACGAUUGAUGCAGGGUUGGUUGGGAGGCGCCGCCGGGGGGGAUCGCGGCCCGAGGGAAGGUCACCCCCGAGGCAGAGAGAGGUCUUGAUCAAUCAAAGGGUUGGGAGAUCGGCGCAGGGGCGCCCUCAACUCGGUAAUGAUCCCUCAGCAGUUCACCUACGGAGACCUUGUUACGACUUUACUUCUCUA